ACCUACCGAUCGAUGGCUGCUCAGUGUCAACUACUUCCGUGAUUCCGACAAACAAGAGAUUAAAAGAAGGAAAAUCUUGGGUUUGUUCGAAACAUAAGGAUCCUGUGUCUCUCAACGCCCUUGAAAAGAUGAAAUGCGAGACAGGCGCAUGUUAUAACGACAUUAGUUCUUGGCGCUGGAACUGCGGGGAUAGUCAUCACCAAGGUCAAUUUGAGAAACCAGACUGGGCAGGAUUCCUGUUUGCAGUGUCUCAAGCCGCACAGUUCGCGGACGAAAUGGGUUCGACAUGGAUGAGCGCCCUUAUAGUUGAAUUAGGGAAACAGUAUAACAGACCGUAAUAAGUUGACAGACUUGUUCAAACGGCAGAAAAUACUUUAGAACAAAAAUACAAGAACAACACUUCAGCAAGACAUGUAAUGACGAAUACGCUACGUUCGAUAUUAUUAUAGCUUAUAUUUUCAAUUACACAUAGUAUAUUUGUAUAUAUAUAUUUAUUUCGA